rnacentral:tRNA from 1 species
CCUCUGGUAGCUCAGUUGGUAGAGCGGUGGACUGUAGAUCCAUAGCUCGCUGGUUCAAAUCCGGCCCAGAGGA